rnacentral:tRNA from 1 species
GGACCCAUAGCUCAAUUGGUCAGAGCACUCGUCUUUUAAACGAUAGGUUCUCGGUUCAAGUCCGAGUGGGUUCACCA